GGGGAAUAUUGCACAAUGGGGGAAACCCUGAUGCAGCGACGCCGCGUGGAGGAAGAAGGUCUUCGGAUUGUAAACUCCUGUUGUUGAGGAAGAUAAUGACGGUACUCAACAAGGAAGUGACGGCUAACUACGUGCCAGCAGCCGCGGUAAAACGUAGGUCACAAGCGUUGUCCGGAAUUACUGGGUGUAAAGGGAGCGCAGGCGGGAAGACAAGUUGGAAGUGAAAUCUAUGGGCUCAACCCAUAAACUGCUUUCAAAACUGUUUUUCUUGAGUAGUGCAGAGGUAGGCGGAAUUCCCGGUGUAGCGGUGGAAUGCGUAGAUAUCGGGAGGAACACCAGUGGCGAAGGCGGCCUACUGGGCACCAACUGACGCUGAGGCUCGAAAGUGUGGGUAGCAAGCAGGAUUAGAUACCCUGGUAGUCCACACCGUAAACGAUGAUUACUAGGUGUUGGAGGAUUGACCCCUUCAGUGCCGCAGUUAACACAAUAAGUAAUCCACCUGGGGAGUACGACCGCAAGGUUGAAACUCAAAGGAAUUGACGGGGGCCCGCACAAGCAGUGGAGUAUGUGGUUUAAUUCGACGCAACGCGAAGAACCUUACCAAGUCUUGACAUCCCUUGACAGGCAUAGAAAUAUGUUUUCUCUUCGGAGCAAGGAGACAGGUGGUGCAUGGUUGUCGUCAGCUCGUGUCGUGAGAUGUUGGGUUAAGUCCCGCAACGAGCGCAACCCUUAUGGUCAGUUACUACGCAAGAGGACUCUGGCCAGACUGCCGUUGACAAAACGGAGGAAGGUGGGGAUGACGUCAAAUCAUCAUGCCCUUUAUGACUUGGGCUACACACGUACUACAAUGGCGUUAAACAAAGAGAAGCAAGACCGCGAGGUGGAGCAAAACUCAGAAACAACGUCCCAGUUCGGACUGCAGGCUGCAACUCGCCUGCACGAAGUCGGAAUUGCUAGUAAUCGUGGAUCAGCAUGCCACGGUGAAUACGUUCCCG
rnacentral:rRNA from 2 species